UCCCAGCACCCCGAGUGGUCGGGACGUUUAUUGGGCCUAAAGCAUCCGUAGCCGGUUCUACAAGUCUUCCGUUAAAUCCAACUGCUUAACAGGUGGGCUGCGGAAGAUACUAUAGAGCUAGGAGGCGGGAGAGGCAAGCGGUACUCGAUGGGUAGGGGUAAAAUCCGUUGAUCCAUUGAAGACCGCCAGUGGCGAAGGCGGCUUGCCAGAACGCGCUCGACGGUGAGGGAUGAAAGCUGGGGGAGCAAACCGG
rnacentral:rRNA from 1 species